rnacentral:rRNA from 1 species
UACAGAGGUCUCAAGCGUUGUUCGGAUUCAUUGGGCGUAAAGGGUGCGUAGGUGGCGCUGUAAGUCGGGUGUGAAAUUUCGGAGCUUAACUCCGAAACUGCAUUCGAUACUGCGGUGCUUGAGGACUGGAGAGGAGACUGGAAUUCAUGGUGUAGCAGUGAAAUGCGUAGAGAUUAUGAGGAAGACCAGUGGCGAAGGCGGGUCUCUGGACAGUUCCUGACGCUGAGGCACGAAGGCCAGGGGAGCAAACGGG